UAAACAUUAAAACACAGAAAAUACAUGUAUGGACAAUGGCAGAGGACACGCUACAGCUUACGCCAAUUACAGCGGCCCUUACAUAUAAGAUACGACAUCACAAACACAUUAAACUAAUAACAACACGAUACUUCACAGGACAGAUUACGGGACUUGUUACAGGACAAACAUAUUGAUUUCCAUGUUCUUGGAUCUAUGACCUAUGUUCCAC